GACGAACGCUGGCGGCGUGCUUAACACAUGCAAGUCGAACGGAAAGGCUCCAUCUUGCUGGAGUACUCGAGUGGCGAACGGGUGAGUAACACGUGGGUAAUCUGCCCUGCACUCUGGGAUAAGCCUUGGAAACUGGGUCUAAUACUGGAUAUGACCUUUCUCCUUAUGGGGUUUGGUGGAAAGUUUUUCGGUGUAGGAUGAGCCCGCGGCCUAUCAGCUUGUUGGUGGGGUUAUGGCCUACCAAGGCGACGACGGGUAGCCGGCCUGAGAGGGUGAUCGGCCACAUUGGGACUGAGAUACGGACCAGACUCCUACGGGAGACAGCAGUGGGGAAUAUUGCAGAAUGGGCGGAAGCCUGAUGCAGCGAAGCCGCGUGAGGGAUGACGGCCUUCGGGUUGUAAACCUCUUUCAGCAGGGACGAAGCGUAAGUGACGGUACCUGCAGAAGAAGCACCGGCUAACUACGUG
rnacentral:rRNA from 1 species